GGAAAUACUGGAAGUGGUUGUGAUCAAGUGUGAAGCAGGACUUGGAACCUUGCAGCUAACAUCUGAGAAAAGCAGGGUCCUGCUUCCUACACAGGGCUUGGGGAGACUCUGGUGUGGACACAGCUGAGUGGAUUAAAAGUUCCCAUCAAUAUACCAAUCCAUGUGUGACAGCAUUGUGAAGAAAGCACUCCUUUAUUCACUGAAUGACAGUAUUCAGUUGAGAACAUUUAACAAGAAUGCAAAUGGACAGAUCUGCUCUCAUUCUGACCAUGGCUAAAUUUAAGCAUAAGCACCAGAAAAUAUAGGUCACUGAUUAAUUCACUGAGAUUCUGCAUUCUUGCUCUGCAAUAAUGCCUUAAUGACAAGUUACAGCAAACUCUUAAAUGUGAUAAUUAAUUCUGGUUACACAUUAUUAAGGUCAGAGAAACUAACAGGUUCACUAAUGAUUUCUAUUUUAGAACAUGGGGCAUUUCAAUCAAGAGUAUAUAAAAUAGUAAAUGUAAGGGAAUUUAACAGCAUUUACUGGCUUAGUACAUGAUUAAA